CUCCCACUGUAGUCAGGUGAUAUACACCUCUCUCCAAUCUCCCACUGUAGUCAGGUGAUAUACACCUCUCUCCAAUCUCCCACUGUAGUCAGGUGAUAUACAUCUCUCUCUAAUCUCCCACUGUAGUCAGGUGAUAUACACCUCUCUCCAAUCUCCCACUGUAGUCAGGUGAUAUACAUCUCUCUCUAAUCUCCCACUGUAGUCAGGUGAUAUACAUCUCUCUCUAAUCUCCCUCCCACUGUAGUCAGGUGAUAUACACCUCUCUCUAAUCUCCCACUGUAGUCAGGUGAUAUACAUCUCUCUCUAAUCUCCCUCCCACUGUAGUCAGGUGAUAUACAUCUCUCUCUAAUCUCCCACUGUAGUCAGGUGAUAUACACCUCUCUCCAAUCUCCCUCCCACUGUAGUCAGGUGAUAUACACCUCUCUCCAAUCUCCCACUGUAGUCAGGUGAUAUACACCUCUCUCUAAUCUCCCA